rnacentral:rRNA from 1 species
CGGUUAACGGGGGAUUAGGGUUCGAUUCCGGAGAGGGAGCCUGAGAAACGGCUACCACAUCUAAGGAAGGCAGCAGGCGCGCAAAUUACCCAAUUCUAACAGCAUAAGAGAGGUAGUGACAAGAAAUAACAGUACAAGGCAGUUAAAAUGCUUUGUAAUUGGAAUGAUAGAAAUUUAAAUACUUUUUAAAGUAUCAAUUGGAGGGCAAGUCUGGUGCCAGCAGCCGCGGUAAUUCCAGCUCCAAUAGCGUAUAUUAAAAUUGUUGCAGUUAAAAAGCUCGUAGUUGAAUUUUUGCUAAAAAUAACCGGUCUGCUUUUAUUAAUAAAAGUGGUAUCUUGGUGUGUUUUUAGCAAUAAUGUCCUUUGAAAUGUUUUUUACUUUAUUGUAAAAAACAAAUUUCAGGAUUUUUACUUUGAGAAAAUUAGAGUGUUUCAAGCAGGCUAACGUUUUGAAUACUGCAGCAUGGAAUAAUAAAAUAGGAUUUUAGUUCUACGUUAUUGGUUUUAAGAACUAAAUUAAUGAU